UACGUAGGGGGCAAGCGUUGUCCGGAUUCAUUGGGCGUAAAGGGUGCGUAGGCGGCGCGGUAAGUCGGGUGUGAAAUCUUGGAGCUUAACUCCGAAACUGCAUUCGAUACUGCCGUGCUUGAGGACUGGAGAGGAGACUGGAAUUUACGGUGUAGCGGUGAAAUGCGUAGAUAUCGUAAGGAAGACCAGUGGCGAAGGCGGCGUUCUGGACUGCAACUGACACUGAGAAACGAAAGCCAGGGUAGCAAACGGG
rnacentral:rRNA from 1 species